rnacentral:lncRNA from 1 species
AUCUCCUGAAAACCUCACCAGUAUCUUCCAGGAAGGACUUGAGAGGGUUUGGUCCAGUGAUUUUGGACAAUGUAUGAGGCUGCAUUUAAAUCUGAAGCAGGGAGGAUGGAGAUCCUUCACUGAAGAAAGAACUAUGGGGCAACGGCGAGUAGAGAGGAACAGCGGAUGCGUGCGAAGACUUGCAGAGCUCACCCUUCUCAAAGGAAUGCAAGGAGGAGGCACUAUCUAGUUAGAGAAGUAGUCCCUCUCCCAGGAGCCUCUACCAGGAAUGCCAUGGCCACUUUUAAUAGAAACACCCAGAGCUGGCCUUUGGCCGUGUUCCUGUCGGCCCUGGGAGAGGAAAAGGGGCUCGGGGCCAGUAAACUGUGGUGCGUUCUAUUACUGUUGUUAGCAUGACCUUCAGAGUAGCAACAAGGUACUAGAGUGUCGUUUAGAAAUGGAAGACACAGUCUCUAUUUCAGUCCACAGUGUAAAACAGUUCCAAGGUCACACAUAAAUUAAUCUAACAGUUCUCUGUAUUCAUUUUACACACUUAGCAUUGUACCCUGUACACAAGGCCUUUGGCAAAGGUUGUGGCUGAUGAUUGAAGGAGAAAGGGAGGGGGAGGAGGGGAGGAGGAGAAGGAGAAGAAGAAAGAAAAGGAGAAAAGGAUCAAGAAGAACUGAGGGAGAAAAGGAGGUAGAGAAAGAGGAGAAGGAAGAGAAGCAGAGGGAGGAGGAGAGUUUGGUGUUGAGGCCUUGGAAUGGUUGGUGUAGUCUUUUCUGCAGAAAGGGGUAAAUUAAAUGAUCUAUACUAUUCCUUAUAGCCUGUGACAAACUAC